rnacentral:rRNA from 1 species
GACGAACCGUGCGAACGCUGUUCGGAUUCACUGGGCUUAAAGGGCGCGUAGGCGGGCGACCAAGUCCGGGGUGAAAUCUUUCGGCUCAACCGGAAGAGUGCCUUGGAUACUGGUUGCCUCGAGGGAGGUAGGGGCAUGCGGAACUUCCGGUGGAGCGGUGAAAUGCGUAGAUAUCGGAAGGAACGCCGGUGGCGAAAGCGGCGUGCUGGACCUCUUCUGACGCUGAGGCGCGAAAGCCAGGGGAGCGAACGGG